GCGUCCUGUGACCUCCAGACACUGCGAGUGCGAGUGAGGAAGACCAAAUCCUUCUCGGCGAGGCGUCUUCGCCCAAAUCUUCACGAUUCCACAACAUUUCGGAGACGGCAAUGCCCUGGGAACUAGCUUGAGACGCGGCAUCGUUCCUUGAACAUGCCAACUCCCCACACCGAGCUACAUAACUAAGAGCUGCUAUCAACAAACUGAAGACUCACCUUUAUAGAAAGGGACUGCAGCCGAAAACUUGUGUUGUCCUUAACAAAACUUUUUCCAAAACUGACAGGAAGGAAGCACAAAAAUCAAGAGUGCUGUCACAGCGGAAUGGAAACAGUAGCAUUCGUUGCUCAAGACCAUCUCCAGGAUGGAACAGGUACAACUUCAGUAUUUCCAGAAAAGUAAUAAGGUGACACAGACUGGAAUGAUAGAGGUACCUCAGCCUCCCGUUUUGGACAACUGUGCACCAGUGUACGCAAAUGUUACCUUCGAUGACAAUGCUACUGUCACGAAGGAACAAAAUAAAUUAAAAAACCCGUUUAAAAUGGGUUACAGU